rnacentral:rRNA from 1 species
UUAACCUCGGAACUGCCCUUGAUACUGCCAGUCUAGAAUCCGGCAUAUGUCAAUCGAAUUCCUAAUGUAGAGGUGAAAUUCGUAGAUAUUAGGAAGAACACCAGUGCCGAAGUCGGCUCACUGGGCCGAGACAGACGCUGAGGCGCGAAAGCCUGGGGAGCAAACAGGAUUAGAUACCCUGGUAGUCCACUCCGUAAACGAUGGAUGCAUAGCCGUUGGGCAGCAUACUGUUCAGUGGCGCAGCUAACGCAUUAAGCAUCUCCGCUAUGGGGAGUACGGCCGCAAGGUUAAAACUCAAAGGAAUUGACGGGGGCCUGCACAAGCGGUGGAGCAUGUGGUUUAAUUCGAGGCAACGCGAAGAACCUUACCCAGCCCUUGACAUCCCGUCGCGGGUCCAGAGAUGGGCACUUUCGAGUUCGGCCGGACGGUGACAGGUUGCUAGCAUGGACGGUCGUCAGCUCGUGUCGUGAGAUGUUGGGUUUAGUCCCAGCAACGAGCGCAACCAUUGUCCAUAGUUGCCAGCAUUAAUUUGGGCACUAUAGGGAGACUGCCAGUGAUAAGUUGGAGGAAGUUGGGGAUGAC